rnacentral:snRNA from 1 species
AGCUGUGCAGGGGGCACAAAGCGAAUUAUUCUUUCGCCUUUUACUAAAGAAUACCGUGUGCUUGCUGCAGAUAGCAGCAUAAUCAAAUUUUUUGAGGGUAUUUCCUGCAUACGG